UUAAGCGACUAAGCGUACACGGUGGAUGCCCUGGCAGUCAGAGGCGAUGAAGGACGUGCUAAUCUGCGAAAAGCGUCGGUAAGGUGAUAUGAACCGUUAUAACCGGCGAUGUCCGAAUGGGGAAACCCAGUGCAAUUCGUUGCACUAUCGUUAACUGAAUACAUAGGUUAACGAGGCGAACCGGGGGAACUGAAACAUCUAAGUACCCCGAGGAAAAGAAAUCAACCGAGAUUCCCCCAGUAGCGGCGAGCGGACGGGGAGCAGCCCAGAGUCUGAAUCAGCUUGUGUGUUAGUGGAACGGUCUGGAAAGUCCGACGGUACAGGGUGAUAGUCCCGUACACCAAAAUGCACAGGCUGUGAACUCGAAGAGUAGGGCGGGACACGUGGUAUCCUGUCUGAAUAUGGGGGGACCAUCCUCCAAGGCUAAAUACUCCUGACUGACCGAUAGUGAACCAGUACCGUGAGGGAAAGGCGAAAAGAACCCCGGCGAGGGGAGUGAAAAAGAACCUGAAACCGUGUACGUACAAGCAGUGGGAGCACCUUCGGGUGUGACUGCGUACCUUUUGUAUAAUGGGUCAGCGACUUAUAUUCUGUAGCAAGGUUAACCGUAUAGGGGAGCCGCAGGGAAACCGAGUCUUAACUGGGCGUUAAGUUGCAGGGUAUAGACCCGAAACCCGGUGAUCUAGCCAUGGGCAGGUUGAAGGUUGGGUAACACUAACUGGAGGACCGAACCGACUAAUGUUGAAAAAUUAGCGGAUGACUUGUGGCUGGGGGUGAAAGGCCAAUCAAACCGGGAGAUAGCUGGUUCUCCCCGAAAGCUAUUUAGGUAGCGCCUCGUGAAUUCAUCUUCGGGGGUAGAGCACUGUUUCGGCUAGGGGGUCAUCCCGACUUACCAACCCGAUGCAAACUACGAAUACCGAAGAAUGUUAUCACGGGAGACACACGGCGGGUGCUAACGUCCGUCGUGAAGAGGGAAACAACCCAGACCGCCAGCUAAGGUCCCAAAGUCAUGGUUAAGUGGGAAACGAUGUGGGAAGGCACAGACAGCCAGGAUGUUGGCUUAGAAGCAGCCAUCAUUUAAAGAAAGCGUAAUAGCUCACUGGUCGAGUCGGCCUGCGCGGAAGAUGUAACGGGGCUAAACCAUGCACCGAAGCUGCGGCAGCGACACUAUGUGUUGUUGGGUAGGGGAGCGUUCUGUAAGCCUGCGAAGGUGACCUGUGAGGGUUGCUGGAGGUAUCAGAAGUGCGAAUGCUGACAUAAGUAACGAUAAAGCGGGUGAAAAGCCCGCUCGCCGGAAGACCAAGGGUUCCUGUCCAACGUUAAUCGGGGCAGGGUGAGUCGACCCCUAAGGCGAGGCCGAAAGGCGUAGUCGAUGGGAAACAGGUUAAUAUUCCUGUACUUGGUGUUACUGCGAAGGGGGGACGGAGAAGGCUAUGUUAGCCGGGCGACGGUUGUCCCGGUUUAAGCAUGUAGGCUGGUUGUCCAGGCAAAUCCGGAUAAUCAAGGCUGAGGUGUGAUGACGAGGCACUACGGUGCUGAAGUAACAAAUGCCCUGCUUCCAGGAAAAGCCUCUAAGCAUCAGGUAACAUCAAAUCGUACCCCAAACCGACACAGGUGGUCAGGUAGAGAAUACCAAGGCGCUUGAGAGAACUCGGGUGAAGGAACUAGGCAAAAUGGUGCCGUAACUUCGGGAGAAGGCACGCUGGUGUGUAGGUGAAGCCCCUGCGGGUGGAGCUGAGACCAGUCGAAGAUACCAGCUGGCUGCAACUGUUUAUUAAAAACACAGCACUGUGCAAACACGAAAGUGGACGUAUACGGUGUGACGCCUGCCCGGUGCCGGAAGGUUAAUUGAUGGGGUUAUCCGUAAGGAGAAGCUCUUGAUCGAAGCCCCGGUAAACGGCGGCCGUAACUAUAACGGUCCUAAGGUAGCGAAAUUCCUUGUCGGGUAAGUUCCGACCUGCACGAAUGGCGUAAUGAUGGCCAGGCUGUCUCCACCCGAGACUCAGUGAAAUUGAACUCGCUGUGAAGAUGCAGUGUACCCGCGGCAAGACGGAAAGACCCCGUGAACCUUUACUAUAGCUUGACACUGAACAUUGAGCCUUGAUGUGUAGGAUAGGUGGGAGGCUUUGAAGCGUGGACGCCAGUCUGCGUGGAGCCAACCUUGAAAUACCACCCUUUAAUGUUUGAUGUUCUAACGUUGGCCCCUUACCGGGGUUGCGGACAGUGUCUGGUGGGUAGUUUGACUGGGGCGGUCUCCUCCCAAAGCGUAACGGAGGAGCACGAAGGUUAGCUAAUCCUGGUCGGACAUCAGGAGGUUAGUGCAAUGGCAUAAGCUAGCUUGACUGCGAGCGUGACGGCGCGAGCAGGUGCGAAAGCAGGUCAUAGUGAUCCGGUGGUUCUGAAUGGAAGGGCCAUCGCUCAACGGAUAAAAGGUACUCCGGGGAUAACAGGCUGAUACCGCCCAAGAGUUCAUAUCGACGGCGGUGUUUGGCACCUCGAUGUCGGCUCAUCACAUCCUGGGGCUGAAGUAGGUCCCAAGGGUAUGGCUGUUCGCCAUUUAAAGUGGUACGCGAGCUGGGUUUAGAACGUCGUGAGACAGUUCGGUCCCUAUCUGCCGUGGGCGCUGGAGAAUUGAGGGGGGCUGCUCCUAGUACGAGAGGACCGGAGUGGACGCAUCACUGGUGUUCGGGUUGUCAUGCCAAUGGCACUGCCCGGUAGCUAAAUGCGGAAGAGAUAAGUGCUGAAAGCAUCUAAGCACGAAACUUGCCCCGAGAUGAGUUCUCCCUGAGACUUUAAGUCUCCUGAAGGAACGUUGAAGACGACGACGUUGAUAGGCCGGGUGUGUAAGCGCAGCGAUGCGUUGAGCUAACCGGUACUAAUGAACCGUGAGGCUUAACCUU
rnacentral:rRNA from 1 species